UACGUAGGGAGCGAGCGUUAUCCGGAUUUAUUGGGUGUAAAGGGUGCGUAGGCGGUUUGAUAGGUCUAUGGUUUAAUCCCGAGGCUCAACCUCGGUUCGCCAUAGAAACCGUUUGACUUGAGUAUGGUAGAGGCAAGUGGAAUUUCUAGUGUAGCGGUUAAAUGCGUAGAUAUUAGAAGGAACACCAGUGGCGAAGGCGACUUGCUGGGCCAUCACUGACGCUGAGGCACGAAAGCGUGGGGAGCAAAUA
rnacentral:rRNA from 1 species